GCAAGAUACCACGGGCGCACGGCGGAUGCCUUGGCACAGGGAGCCGAUGAAGGACGCGGCAAGCUGCGAUAAUCCCCGGCGAGGAGCACACAUCCUUCGACCCGGGGGUCUCCGAAUGGGCGAACCCAUCCACAGAGGUGUGGAUAUCCCGGCCCCGAACACAUAGGGGCCGGGAGGACAACCCGGGGAACUGAAACAUCUAAGUACCCGGAGGAGAGGAAAUCAAUCUCGAGACUCCCCGAGUAGCGGCGAGCGAAAGGGGACCGAUGGCCAAACCGUCGAGCGGGCAUACCCGGCAGGGGUUCCGCCGACGGGGUUGCAGGGCCGCGCAUCCGGGGGCUGCCGCCCCCGGGCGCAGGUCCGGCUGGGGAGCGGAACGGCAUGGGAGGGCCGGCCGCAGCGGGUGACAGCCCCGUACGCGAACCCAGACCGGACGGCGCGACGCGGUCCCUGAGUAGGGCCGGGCACGUGAAACCCGGUCCGAACCUGGGUGGACCACCAUCCAAGCCUGAGUACUACCCUGUGACCGAUAGCGCACCAGUACCGUGAGGGAAAGGUGAAAAGCACCCCGGGAGGGGAGUGAAACAGUACCUGAAACCGUGCGCCCACGAGCAGUCGGAGCACCCUUGUGGUGUGACGGCGUGCCUUUUGUAGAAUGAGCCAGCGAGUCGCUGGCGCGGGGCGAGGUUAACCGAAAGGGAGCCGGAGCGAAAGCGAGCCUUAACAGGGCGACUUGAGUCCCGCGCCGCGGACGCGAAGCCGGGUGAGCUAUCCGUGGGCAGGCUGAAGCGGGGGUAAGACCCCGUGGAGGGCCGAACGCACGUCGGUUGAAAACGGCGGCGAUGACCUGCGGAUAGGGGUGAAAGGCCAAUCAAACCCGGAGAUAUCUCGUUCUCCCCGAAAUAGCUUUAGGGCUAGCGUCGCGCGUUCACCGCCGGAGGUAGAGCACCGGAUGGACGAGGGGGCUUCGCCGCCUACCGAAUCCAACCGAACUCCGAAUGCCGGCGGCCCAGAGCGCGGCAGUCAGAGCAUGUGGGCUAAGCUGUGUGCUCGAGAGGGAAACAGCCCGGACCGCCCGCUAAGGUCCCCAAGUUCCAGCCGAGUGGCAAAGGAUGUGCGUCCGCCCAGACAACCAGGAUGUUGGCUUAGAAGCAGCCAUCCAUUCAAAGAGUGCGUAACAGCUCACUGGUCGAGUGGACAUGCGCCGACAAUACACGGGGCUAAGCUGGACACCGAAGCGGCGGGAUUUUGAUUUUCAGAAUCGGUAGGGGAGCUUCCCAUGGGCGGCGAAGCCGCCGGGCGACCGGCGGUGGAGCGCAUGGGAGUGAGAAUGCUGGCAUGAGUAGCGAGAGACGAGAGAGUAACUCGUCCGCCGUGAACCCGAGGUUUCCUGGGCAAGGCUAAUCCUCCCAGGGUCAGUCGGGGGCUAAGGCGAGGCCGGGAGGCGUAGCCGACGCGCAGCAGGCAGACAUUCCUGCACCGCGCACGCGGCGCUACGACCGACGGGGCGACGGAUGGGGGUGGCUCGGCGGGGUUCUGGACGUCCCCGUGAUGGAGCGCGGCCCGCGGACCAGGGAAAUCCGGUCCGCACGAGGGCGAGGCUCCGGACGAAGCGAUCAAGCGAAGCGAGUGAGCCCGAGGUCCCUAGAAAAACCCCUAGGCAGGCGCGUGCGCGCCCGUACCGCAAACCGACACAGGUGGGUGGGUAGAACAUACCGAGGCGAUCGGGUCAACCAUGGUCAAGGAACUCGGCACAAUGGCCCCGUAACUUCGGGAGAAGGGGUGCCCGCGCGUACGUGAACCGGCUUGCCCGGGGAGCGGAGGCGGGCCGCAGUGGAGAGGCCCAAGCGACUGUUUACCAAAAACACAGGACUCUGCAGAAGCCGCAAGGCGACGUAUAGGGUCUGACGCCUGCCCGGUGCCGGAAGGUCACGCGGAGGAGUUAGCCGCAAGGCGAAGCCCCGAAGCCAAGCCCCGGUAAACGGCGGCCGUAACUAUAACGGUCCUAAGGUAGCGAAAUUCCUUGUCGGGUAAGUUCCGACCUGCACGAAAGGCGCAACGACUUGGGCGCUGUCUCGACCAUGGACCCGGUGAAAUUGCACUGGUCGUGAAGAUGCGACUUACCCGCGGAAGGACGGAAAGACCCCGUGAACCUUCACUGCAGCUUGGCAUUGGCCGCUGGUCCCGCGUGUAGAGGAUAGGCAGGAGGCACAGAUCCGGAGGCGCCAGCCCCCGGGGAGCCGCCCUUGGAAUACUGCCCUCGCGCGACCGGCGUCCUAACCCGAGGCCGUCAACCGGCUCGGGGACCGUGCCAGGCGGGCAGUUUGACUGGGGCGGUCGCCUCCUAAAGGGUAACGGAGGCGCGCGAAGGUCCGCUCGGGACGGUCGGCAACCGUCCUUUUGAAUGCAAGAGUACAAGCGGGCUUGACUGCGAGGCCCACAAGCCGAGCAGGUGCGAAAGCAGGCUCUAGUGAUCCGGCGGCCCCGAGUGGGUGGGCCGUCGCUCAACGGAUAAAAGGUACUCCGGGGAUAACAGGCUGAUCUUGCCCAAGAGUCCACAUCGACGGCAAGGUUUGGCACCUCGAUGUCGGCUCAUCGCAUCCUGGGGCUGGAGCAGGUCCCAAGGGUACGGCUGUUCGCCGUUUAAAGCGGUACGCGAGCUGGGUUCAGAACGUCGUGAGACAGUUCGGUCCCUAUCCUCCGUGGGCGCAGGAGAAUCGAUGGAGGCUGCCCCCAGUACGAGAGGACCGGGGUGGACGCACCUCCGGUGAACCGGUUGUCGACCAACGGCACGGCCGGGUAGCCGCGUGCGGCGCGGAUAACCGCUGAAGGCAUCUAAGCGGGAAGCCGUUCCAGGGAUUAGUUCUCCUUCCGGUAAGGGCCCAGGUAGACUACCUGGUCGAUAGACGGCAGGUGCAAGGACGGCGACGUCCUCAGCCGAGCCGCACUAAUCGCCCGAGCUCUUCCGGAA
rnacentral:rRNA from 1 species